rnacentral:rRNA from 1 species
CGGACGGGUGAGUAACACGUGGAUAACCUACCUAUAAGACUGGGAUAACUUCGGGAAACCGGAGCUAAUACCGGAUAAUAUAUUGAACCGCAUGGUUCAAUGGUGAAAGAAGGUUUUGCUGUCACUUAUAGAUGGAUCCGCGCCGCAUUAGCUAGUUGGUAAGGUAACGGCUUACCAAGGCAACGAUGCGUAGCCGACCUGAGAGGGUGAUCGGCCACACUGGAACUGAGACACGGUCCAGACUCCUACGGGAGGCAGCAGGC